CGCGGAAGCAGCGCGCAUGCUCCGCUGCCUUUUAUGAAUGGGGGCUGGAGGGGAGCGCGGAUGCGGCUCCCGGGGUUUUUUUUUUUUUCCCUUUUUUUUUUUUGAAUGAAGGGCAGCGGCAGCUGCGCAUGCACCGCGCCCCCCGCCCGGGGCUGGAGGCACUCAUCCGCUUCCAGCCGUUCUGCUCGCGGGAAGAUAAAUGGAGGGGAGGAAUCCUGGGCAUGGCUGCACGGGAGCGGGCUCGCAGCGCGCUGGGUGAUGCACAACAGCUUCUCCAGGCACGUUUCUCCCCCUCCCUCCACGGACCAUCAUUUUAUCCCUGUUUGGGAAUUUCCAUUACUGCUGGGGAAAGGGACUUCUCCUCCUGAGUGA
rnacentral:lncRNA from 1 species